rnacentral:lncRNA from 1 species
UUGACACAUAGUAAGUGCUUAAAUAAUUCCAUAAAAAAGAGCACAUCCUGGGGUCUUGUACAGUGAUUCUGCUCCUCAUUUUCUUUCAACAGAGAACCUAGAGAGGAGAGAGCCUGUUUUUCUCUUGGCAGUUCCUGAAGACGCUUUGAACUCCAGAAGGAA